GUCUUCAACGAGGAAUUCCUAGUAAGCGCGAGUCAUCAGCUCGCAUUGACUACGUCCCUGCCCUUUGUACACACUUCCCGUCACUCCUACCGAUUGAAUGGUCUGAUGAAGUGUUCAGAUCGCGGCGACGUGGGCGGUUCAUUGCCCGCGACAUCGCGAGAAGUCCACUGAACCUUAUCAUUUAGAGGAAGGAGAAGUCGUAACAAGGUUUCCGUAGAUGAACCUGCGGAAGGAUCAUUG
rnacentral:ncRNA from 1 species